UGCUUUCGGGAAACUAUACACUAAUCGAAGGUGGCAGCACCAUAGAUACAUUGACGGAAAGGGCACAGAUCCGCAGGAUAGUACUGGAGGCUUGGACUUCCACUGCAUCUUCAUCUGUAGGGAGGCGGCUUUUAAGCUCUUUUGCAUAGUUGACGCUCAUCCAGGACUUCCACGGCAUCUUCUAUCUUCAAGAGCACUUCAUCGUCCCUACUUCACUUUUGGAAUGACACCGCUGCCUUGCACUAAUAUUGGCUCGCAGUGGCCAUCUUGAAGAUAACAAUGCAUUGUGAUGGAGAUGUGCUAUUCCUUGCAUGUACUUACAAAAAUGAACAAAGAAAACGACUACGCAAAUUAAUAAUGGAAAGAGUGAUAUUCUGUACGAGCGUGCUGGAAGUCAGAAAGAUGGGAAGAAGAAAGAAACAGUUAAAGCUGGGAGAACAAUGCAUCACUGACAAAGGCCUCCAUUACCUCUUUUAUGUGCUUUAUUCUAGAAAAGCAGUUUGAACAGUUUUCUCUUGUUAACUUUCUUCCACAGCAUUGUGAAUGGACUGAGAGACGUGUGACUAAUACGCGCAUGCACAUAUGUACUGCAUAGAUAUGUGUUCAUUUUAUAGACAUGAAAUGUGUGUGCACUGCAUAAGGG